UACAGAGGGUGCGAGCGUUAAUCGGAAUUACUGGGCGUAAAGCGUGCGUAGACGGUCAUGUAAGUCGGGUGUGAAAGCCCCCCGGCUCAACUGGGGAGGGUCACGCGAUACUGAUCGACUCGAAGGCAGGAGAGGGUAGUGGAAUUCCCGGUGUAGUGGUGAAAUGCGUAGAUAUCGGGAGGAACACCAGUGGCGAAGGCGACUACCUGGCCUGUUCUUGACGCUGAGGCGCGAAAGCUAGGGGAGCAAACGGG
rnacentral:rRNA from 1 species